AUGAUUCUUUUUCAGUGUCAAUCAAUGGUUUCCUUAAUUGCAAGACAACGAAUCUCCGUGUUAUUGAUCUGGUACAGUGUUGUUGUGCGUGAGGACGACACAUGGAAAUGUGCAACAAGGCAGUGCUCGCAUUGCAGUGGACUGGAGUCCGCCAUCACCACCGACCAUUGCUCGCCGAUCAUCGUCCCUCAUCCCCCGUCUAGAUGUUUGCGGAUCAGGCGAAGAAGAGAGGAAGGAUCAAGGUUUAAGGUGUUUGCUAGAGAAAAUCAAAAGAAGCAACCUGAAUGUCAAUGGGGUGAUGGCAGUGACAUAUUUAACACGAGGUGUUGCAUCUAG
rnacentral:rRNA from 1 species